UACGUAGGGGCCUAGCGUUGUCCGGAUUUAUUGGGCGUAAAGAGCUCGUAGGCGGUUUGGUGAGUCGGGUGUGAAAUCUCCACGCUCAACGUGGAGGGGCCACCCGAUACUGCCAUGACUAGAGUCCGGUAGGGGAGUGUGGAAUUCCCGGUGUAGCGGUGAAAUGCGCAGAUAUCGGGAGGAACACCUAUGGCGAAGGCAGCUCGCUGGGACGUUACUGACGCUGAGACGCGAAAGCGUGGGGAGCAAACAGG
rnacentral:rRNA from 1 species